ensembl:lncRNA novel transcript
GACUAAGAUGUCAGUGCUGGCCAAAGGGGGCGCCGAGAAGCUGAAGGAAAGAAGACGCAGAAUGUUAGAUUAAAGGAGGCAGGAUGGGCUAAAUACUCCUAUACAGUCCACGCAAAGAGGGGUUGGACGAGCUCGGAGAGAAAGAAAAUGAUAUAUGUCAGAAACUCAGAUAUCCGUAAAGAAAGAAAGCAUUGGGAAAAGAAUAAAUGAAGGGAAGGGUAUCAAUUUACUUCUAAGAAUUCCCCAAAAGGAACAAAUGGAAAAUAGAAUUUUAUCUGCUUCAUUUGCAAUGUCACAAGUAUGGAUCAUUUUCAUAAAAUUCAUCUCAUACCCCUGGGAUGAAAGAGUUGAUGAGUUUUUCUUCCCAGGAAAUUACCUUUCCACACAGUCUGAGAGUCUGGAAGUCAAGUUGGAUGCGGGAGCAUCGUGCCCCCCUAUAGCAUACAGCAGUCCAUUCCAGGUCGUCACUCCUACGCCACCUCUCCUUUUUGACAUCUGUGCACACAGUGUCCACUUAUUAGUAUGAGGAUCAAAACAUUCUACUGAUUUGAGACAAGAACUUCCAUCACGACCACCAACUGCAUAAAGUCUGCAAAAAGAAUAUAUGAAAUGAUAAAUAAGACAUGUGCCAUUAUGCUUAGAACAAAGAGGCUCUUCUUAUGUUGUUAUCUCAUUGAAUUUAAGGUGCCAUCAGUUAUAAAACACACUGUCAAUGUGUGUGUCAUUAAAAAAGUAUGCUAUGUUUGAAAUGACACAUGUAAGUAUCAUAUAUCACUCUGUAUAUACAUGAAAAGGAAAACAAACUGCACAUGAAGGCAGUGACAACUGUUUCAUCACUGCCAUCUCUUUGACAAGUCACCAUUGGUUGUAAUAUGCAUGGAAAUUCAGAGGUGUUAAAAUAUGUCUUAGAAUAGACAAAAUAUGGUGUAUAAAUAUACCAUGGCUUUUUUUUUAAUAGUUAAGACUUUAUUAUCAAGGAAAGAAGCUAACCUUCUCUGAGCACCUACCAUAGGUUAGGCACUUCACAUGUACCGAUUUAAUCAUCACAGUGAUAUGAGAAACUGUUUGAAUCCCUGUUUCACAGUGUAAAGAAACAAGGGUUCACAGAGAGUAAGAGACUUGCACAGGGUCACCCAGUAAGCAGCAGAAUUGGGACACAUAGUUUCAUUAAUGAACAGUUGGACAGUCAACACAGUCAUGUAGAAUGUACUUGUAAUAGUGAAAUAGGAGAAUAAAAAUAUAGCUUGAAACAAUGGCAUAAAAAGUAACAUUUGUUAUGUAUGAACAAUGAUCCUUCAUUAAUUUAAAUUACUGCAGAAAAGGAUAUAGGUUAUCAUGUGAGCAACCUAAAUGUUACCUAGUAGAUCAAUUUAAAUUCAUUAUCAAUCAAUACACUGCACUAAUUUGAAAGUCUUUUACUCUGAACCUAAAAGUUUGUAAAAUAUUUUAAAUAUUUGAACACAAUAUUUCUUGUUAAGCAAAAAUCUUCUUGUACUUACUAUUCAUUUGGGAAGCUUUCCAUAAAUAUUUUUUCUACUAGUUUUUUAAAAGAGUAAAUUUACGUUGUUGCUCAUAGAAAAGAUUAUACAUUUUGAAUUUACAAAUGUUAGUUAAUACUUAACUGUUUUUAUCAUUUCUCAAGAAAUAAUAUUUUAAGUAUCCCAAAUUUCUGCCAAUUAAAACUCUAGUUAUUUAUAUUUGGGUAAAUCUACAUACUUAACCACAGAUUUCCUAAUUAAGGUAUGCCACUAUGUCACUGAAACUGUUUCUUAAAUAAUAAGAUGACCAUAUCUUAAACAGCAACAUAUGGUUAUAGCAAUAUCU